CGAACGCUGGCGGCGUGCUUAACACAUGCAAGUCGAACGGAAAGGCCCUGCUUGCAGGGUACUCGAGUGGCGAACGGGUGAGUAACACGUGGGUGAUCUGCCCUGCACUUCGGGAUAAGCUUGGGAAACUGGGUCUAAUACCGGAUAGGAACCAUCUUUAGUGUGGUGGUUGGAAAGUUUUUUCGGUGUAGGAUGAGCUCGCGGCCUAUCAGCUUGUUGGUGGGGUAAUGGCCUACCAAGGCGGCGACGGGUAGCCGGCCUGAGAGGGUGCACGGCCACAUUGGGACUGAGAUACGGCCCAGACUCCUACGGGAGGCAGCAGUGGGGAAUAUUGCACAAUGGGCGCAAGCCUGAUGCAGCGACGCCGCGUGGGGGAUGAAGGCCUUCGGGUUGUAAACUCCUUUCGCUAGGGACGAAGCUUUGUUGUGACGGUACCUAGAUAAGAAGCACCGGCUAACUACGUG
rnacentral:rRNA from 1 species